rnacentral:rRNA from 1 species
UACGACUACAUAUCAGGCAUAUCAAUAAGCGGAGGAAAAGAAACUAACAAGGAUUCCCUAGUAACGGCGAGUGAAGCGGGAAGAGCUCAAAUUUGAAAUCUUAAAGGUUUUCCCUUGACGAAUUGUAGUUUAAAGAAGUGUUUUCUGUUGGAGUUUUCGGUAAAAGUUCUUUGGAAUAGGACAUCAUAGAGGGUGAGAAUCCCGUAUUUGACCAUUACUUUCCAGCUGUGUGAUACACUUUCAAAGAGUCGGAUUGUUUGGGAAUGCAGUCCAAAAUGGGUGGUAAAUUUCAUCUAAAGCUAAAUAUUGGCGAGAGACCGAUAGCGAACAAGUACCGUGAGGGAAGGAUGAAAAGAACUUUGAAAAGAGAGUUAAACAGUACGUGAAAUUGUCAAAAGGGAAGCGUUUGACACCAGUGUUGUUUUCUCGAAAAUCAAUUAAAAAUAACUUGAUUUUGUGUUGUAUUGACCUUAAAAGCUUUCUUCACUCUUUUCCUGUUAUUUUUAAUGCACUUUUCGUUUAACAAGUCAACAUCAGUUUCUUUUGUUGUAAAAAGGUCAUUGGAAGGUGGCUUUCUUUUCGGAGAAAGUGUUUAUAGCCUUUGACUACUGCAAUCGGAGAGACUGAGGUCUGCAGCGUAGAUCCUUUUUGGAUUAGAUUCAUUUGUGCUAAGUUAUAGCUUUUUAUAGACAACAUGUUGACUAUAUUUAGUCUUGUAACUUACUCGCUUAUGUAAUUUUACCUACGCUUAGGAUGUUGAAUCUGUGCGAGACUAC